rnacentral:misc_RNA from 1 species
UGUGGGAGCGAGCCUGCUCGCGAUGGCGGAGUGUCAUUAAAGCCGCUGUCAACAGAUAGACCGCCAUCGCGAGCAGGCUCGCUCCCACA